rnacentral:lncRNA from 1 species
GCCCAAUCACAGAAACAACCCACAAAAUUGGGUUGUUGUUGGAGAAAACUGCUUGAAUUCAAAUCCGAAAUUCGCAAGCAUCCACCAAAUAGAAGAGUGAUAUAAAUGAGGAAAAUUUAAGAGAGUAGCUCUCACAUGUCUUUAACAGCAAAGGUGAGGCUGCUCAGAGGAAGGUCAUGUGACGAAGACGGCGGCCGAAGAAGGAAUUUCUCCACGAAAGCUCCAUGUUCUGAGUCUAUCGCCAUCCCUCUCUGCCACUGCUGUCUCAGACAAUCUCAGCCUCAGCAGCAGCUCCACAUUUUGAUGACAGAAGUGAACAGCUCUCCACUCAUCAAUCAUGCGAUGAUCACUUCAGCCAGUGAGGACAAAUAUUAUUCCUUAAAAAAAAUCUGUGUUGAUAAGGCGGUCACUUCAGCCAGUGAGGACAAACUGGAAAUUCUGGAGGUUGCUUAAGUCCUCACUGUGGUCGUUAGACAUUGAGAAUCGAUAAAGUGGUACUUAAAAGCAGGAAAAACAACUUACCAUAAAAUCUGAAACAUCAAAUGUGUUUAAAAGGUCGUACCCAGUGCACAAGGCUCCCGCUUUACGCAGGGUUUGGGAGAGGUGAAUGUCGGCUAGCCUUACCCCCAUUUAUGGAGAGGCUGCUCUCAAGUCUCGAACCCGAGACCUACCGCUCAUGGGCGAAGGCACUUGCCAUCGCACCAAGUGCGACCUCAAAUGUGUUUGGUAAAAAAAAAAAAAGCUUAUUUAAAAAAUUGUUGUCAAUGACAACAAAAAAGCAUAGAAAAGCAGAAGUAGGAUCUACUAUGCUUUAAAAUUAUCUAAGCAUAGUGAACAGUGGCCAUUUGAUGAAAUUUUCAAAUAGCAAGUAUACCCCUGCCUUUUUUACAAAAUAACAAUCGUUGCCCGUGGAAUAUUAUCUUUGACAACUAUUAUAGGGAAUUAUUAUUAGCAUUCCAAAAGUCUCAUUUGACAUUCCAAACUUUCUAUAAUUAGAAAGAAAAAAAACACUUGUGAGGAGUGUAGAAUGAGAUUUUUGGAAUGCUAAUAACAGUUCCGUUAUUAUAUCACAUUAAAUGCCAUAUCAUUUUUAGUAUUUAACAUAUUCACAUUAAUUUUAUAUAAAAGUUGACAUAACACUCAGAUACUGUUUUCUUUUUUUUUACAAGCACUUUUACAAUAAAAGUUUAUUAAACGCUUAACAACUUUAUUUUACAGCUGUUCUGCUGUUUUUUUUUUUUUUUUUAACAUAACAAUACCAAACUAGCAAAACUUACAAGCACAUAUAUCAGGAAAAGAUUAUCAGAGUCUGCAACUCAAAAUCUUGUAGUCAACAUUCACAACUUCCCGACGUGUUCUUUGAGAGUGUCGUAAAGAGUCUCGACAAGAUUGAGCAGGAACCCGUCCGAGCCAUGCUUUGCCAGCAAGGAAACUGAAACGGGUAGGUUAUCGUACAUCCCUAGUGGUAUAGUCACCUGCAAAUACGUAGAAAUACGUUACAAACUUUCACAAGAUAUUUGCAGUCAUUGAAGAAGAAAAAGAUCGUAGUCAUAUACAAACAUGGAGACUGGAGAGGGGGAGGGAGAAGUAGAGAUAGAUAGAGGGCUUAAAAACCUGGCAGAAUCCGGAAACUACGGCAAUGGAUAGGAAGCUGAAAGCCCUGGCACGAAAAUUGUGCAGUGUUGUAGGAUCUGUUUGCAGCUUUGGUGGAUCCCCUGGAACUGUAGGCAUUGCGAGGACACCGAAAUCCUGAUGAGUAAAUCAAAGAGAUUGUGUUAUGUAUUCAUUAGAGACGGUAUGUAUCAUCCAUUUCUUCUGCUAAAGGUACCUUUUUAAGAGCAAAAGGAAGGAAGAUGCUAACAAAUAACAGUUUGUCAAAGAUGAGAGAGAGAGAGAGAGAGAGAGAGAGUACCCCGAGAAGGUCAGUAAGAGCAGCACGCAAUUCAGUCAUCACGGAGUGACAAACAUCGACAUUUUCAUCUGUUGACCGAACAGCUGCCCAUAUACGUUCUCCUAUCCCGGGACCUAAGUCAGGUCUGACUGUACUAACCCAUUCACCAUGGUUGCUCUUGAAUUCAUACCUAUUCUAUCAACCAAAUGAUAAAUUUGGAAUUCAUUAUGAACGACAAAUUUGAAUUUUGUUGAUCAAGAUGAAGAUGCAGAAAUUAUCACACUCAUAUUCAAGUCGACCAAAUCAGCACCUUUCAAGUAGACGAUCGGCGGUUGAUAGGGCUGCCAAUGACGGUAUAAUGUACUCUUCACUUGGAUUUCCUUUAUCCAAGAAAGAGUUCAAGCUUGGAACUUUGUCCUUGACAACGUCCCCAAGGUUAGCAUGUUUUAUAACAUGACCUGCAUUUGCAGAUAUAACGAGUGAGCUUCUUCUUUCCAUGUUAUGAACUUGUCCCUAUCUCAGCAGGAGACCUAAUUUAAUUAAGUGAAUGAUGAUUUUCAGGUAAUAAUCUGUCUACUGAAUUUAAUGGUCUAUUUGUGUCUUAAAAUGCGAGGGAAUUAUAAAUUGGACUCGAUUCAUGUCAAUCAAAGUACUUACAGCAAGAGAUGAAACAGAUGAAUAUGGUCAAAUCACUUACCCCCAAAUAACUUCUCAACUGAGUCAACAAGUACUUGUUUCACUCGACUGCUUGGAACACUUGAAAGCUGGAAACAGUCUUCUGCGAUGAUUAACUGAGUGGGUACGACAGGACCUGUAUCAGGCAAUUGGAGUAACACUCGUCCAACUCUAUUCAAAAUCGCAGGAUCCCUUGCAAACCAUCCUAUAUCAGAAGUUAGUGUCAAAAGGAUGGUUUCCAAUUGCUUAGAGUGCUAGAUAGAUCAUUCGCAUAGGUAAAGCUUUCGAAGUACUAUAUUUCCAAUUGCAGAAAAACUUAAACACAGAAGUGUCACAAGUAAUAAUCAACAAAAAUGCAGAAUGCCUGGAUGGCAUAUGAAUCAUUAAAGCGGAAGAAGUUAGCUACAUUCUAGCAACAGAAAUAGAGAUUUCCUGUUAUAUAAAAUCGAGGGAAAACUGAAACAUGACUUUUUUUGUCACAACCAGAAAUCAAUUUCCUAAGCCAGUCUGCAAUAUAAAAUGUCAUUGAUUUCUCACCCACUGUAUCGAAACUUUGUGCCAGGGGAGUAACUCCAGAGGUAGAAAUGACACCAUGAGAUGGCCGAAACCCAAAAACUCCACAAUAUGAAGCAGGAACUCUUAUACUUCCUCCAGUGUCGGUUCCUGAAAAAUUGAGGGUCUUGUGCUUCAACAUAAAGAAGCAAGAAAACAACAAAAGCACGCAUGGAAUAACCUACCUAAGGAAAAAUCUGCGAGGCCUACAGCUACGGCAACAGCAGAACCGCUAGAAGAGCCUCCAGGCACCCUAUCUGGUGCGCACGGAUUUCUGGGUGUGCCAUAAUGCUUGUUCUCUCCAUUUAUACUGCCAACAACACAAUGCUAAAUUCAAGAGCAUUUCUGUCGAGUGAUUUUCAAAUGUACAAAAUCAUGAUAUAAAUACUUUUACCAUGAAAAGAGACUUGUAGUGAUCAAUCAUUUGUGAAAAUUUUUGCAAACAAAACAGUAAUGCAAGUUUAAGCAUGUGAAGUAAGACAAGGCCUCUUUGCACUAACCAGUAUGCCAUUUCAUCCAUGACAGUUAUACCAAUACUUGUGGCACCUCCACUCAAUAUUGCUGAAACAGCCGGAGCUGUUGACUCAGCAGCCGGGUGAGUCCUCGCCCAAUCAGGAUUCCCAAACCCAGUCACACGUCCAGCCACAUCAAAUCUGCCUCCAAGUUCAAAUUUCAGUGAACACAAAAAUGUUUUGGCUUUUACACACACACAUGAAAAAAAUUGCACAAUUCAACACCCUGAAGUUCACCAUCAUGGUUCCACAAGCACACAUAAAACCACACAAAGCAUGAAGAUUUAUUAAAACGCUUCUCUGAAAAAGCACUUCUCAUCAUAAGUGCUUUUGCUGGAAGUAUUUUUACUUUAGUAGAAGUAAAUCCACCACAAAGUUUCAUUAAAAAUUCAAGUGCUUCAGAAAAAAAACAUUUGAACAUUUUUUCUGAAAGUGCUUUUAGUCAUUCUCAAAUGAAGAAACGCCCAAUCACAGAAACAACACACAAAAUUGGGUUCUUGGAGACAACUGAUUGAACCCAAAUCCGAAAUCAGCAAAUAAGCACAAAAGCAUAUGAAUUUUAAGUAUAACACUACAAAAUUUAAAGCAUCCACCAAAUAGAAGAGUGAUAUAAUUGAGGAAAAUUUAAGAGAGUAGCUCUCACAUGUCUUUAACAGCAAAGGUGAGGCCGCUCAGAGGAAGGUCAUGUGAUGAAGACGGCGGUCGGAGAAGGAAUUUCUCCACGAAAGCUCCAUGAUCUGAGUCUAUCGCCAUCUCUCUCUGCCACUGCUGUCUCAGACAAUCUCAGCCUCAGCAGCAGCUCCACAUUUGACGACAGAAGUGAAAAGCUCUCCACUCAUCAAUCAUACGAUGAUCGUAUUCAAAUGCAAGGACAAAUAUUAUUCCUUAAAAAAAUAUGUUGUUGAUAAGGUGGUAACUUCAGUCAGUGAGGGCAAAGUGGAAAUUCUGGAGGUAGCUUAAGUCCUCACUAUGGUCCUUAGACUUUGAGAAUUGAUACAAAUGGUCUUUAAAUUUCUCCACCGUAAAUUAUUUUGCUCUAAAAAAUUUGUCAAUAUCAUCGUUGAGUGGUUGGGUUGAUUAGACAAAAUAUCAAAGAAAGACAAUUCAAGGACCGCUUCUAUCGGUUUUCAUUAUCAUGAUCAAAGUGAGGGGUUUUGCCAAAGUCAUGAACUAUUUUGACUAAAACCCUAAAAAAAAAAGGGAAUUGUUAUUGGCUCUCCAAAAAUCUCAUUCUAUACUCCAACUUUCUAUAUUUGGAAAGAAAACUACACUUCUGAUGAGUGUAGAAUAAGAUUCUUGGAGUGUUAAUAACACUUCCCAAAAAAUAAAACAUAUUCUAUGAAAAUAUUGUGAAUUUCUUAGCUUAUGGAUCCAACGCAAGUACACAAUGUAUUAGGGUUUUUAUCACAAAUGAUCCCUGAGAUUGAUCAAACUCAUUAUUUUGAUCCCUCACUUUCAAAAUCAAUCAAUGUCGUCUCUAACCUUCACUACCAAAUAUCAAUUGGGUCAUUCCGUUAAGAUUUUGUUAACUAUUCUGUUAGUUUAUAUGCGGGGCCCACAAUUUCAAUGAAAUUGUGACAUGUAGAUUACACAAAAUAAGGAUUUUUAUCGCAAAUGGUCCCUAACAUUGAUCUAACUCCUCAUUUUGGUAUCUGAGUUUCAAAAAUUAAUAAAUUUGGUCAUUGACUUUCAAUACCGCAUGUUAAUUUAAUCAUUCCGUUAAAGUUUCGUCAAUAUUCUUUUUCCCACUAAUUCAAUCAUAUGACGUCACGUGAAUUAACUAUAAGAAAUUUUUUUUUAAAGAUUUAAAACUAAAAGUAAAAUAAGAGACUAAAAACCAAUACUAAAAGAAAGAAAAAAGUCAUCGUCAUCUUCAUCAGGUAUGCUAAAAAAGAAAAUAAAGGCACCAUGACACUAUUAAAGUUCUUGGCCUCCUAAACUUACUCUUCAUUAUCUCCAGUUGGUUAUAAUCCUAUCAACUUUAAAUUGAAUUUGGAUUCGAUUUUAUCAAAUUUAGAUUGAAUUUUUUUCAAUUGGGGUUGUGGGAUGUGAGAAAUAUCAACGCAGAAUACUCGUAUGUUGGUUCAAUCUUAAAAAAAAAAAAAAAUUCUUAUAGUUAAUCCACGUGGAGCCAUAUUGAUGAAAUUUUAAUGAAAUGACUAAAUUGAUGUGCGAUAGUGAAAGUCAGGGAUCAAAUUCAUAAAUUUUUGAAACUUAGGGACCAAAAUGAGGGGUUGGACCAAUGUCAGUGACCAUUUGCGAUAAAAACUUUAAUUUUGUGUAAUCCACAUGUCACUAUUUCACUAGAUUUGUGGGUUCCACUUACAAACUAACAUAAUAGUUGACGGAAUUUUAACGGAAUGACCAAAUUGAUGUGGGGUAGUGAAUAUCAUGGACGACAUUAAUUGAUUUUGAAAGUAAGUCUCACUUACAAACUAACAGAAUAGUUGAAGGAAUCUUAACGGAAUGACCAAAUUGAUGUAGGGUAGUGAAUGUCAUGGACGACAUUAAUUGAUUUUGAAAGUAAGCGACCAAAAUGAUGAAUUUGAUCAAUUUUAUGGACCAUUUGUGAUAAAAACUCCAUUGUAUUAUCAAUGGAAACAAAAUUUCAAGUGGCAGUUCCAUACAUAUGCAGGCGAACUUUCAUUCGCUGCGGUCGUAAUAAAAAAAUAUGUACAAAUAAGGGAUCACAGGUCUGUGCUCGGCGAGUUCCACCUCUGCUGGCUUUGUAGUUACUCCCGGAGCACUCCAACCUAAGCGUUGCAUGCACACAGCAUCGUAUGCUUCAAUUUUCAAACCCGAAGCAAGAAAUAGUUCCACCUCGUUUACAAACCGAUUGGUUCUUGCUGCCAGGAAAGGCCCUGCUGCAUCACAGGUUGAUUCUUGAAAUUCUCUUUGUUUUUCUUCAGGUGCCGUCGUUCGACCUUUUUGUUCAUCCCUUGAAAAUGCAUGGUUCAGGUAAAAGUUCAGACAAAGAGUUCAUUGAAAUUUUGCACGUUUUCAAGCACUUCAAUGUUGUUCUUUCUCAUAUCUUGUCCAAAAGAACUCUAAAGACGGGAACUAACUUUGGAACGUUAUUCGAUUUUUCAAUUGAAGAUCUAGGGAGUAACACAUAUCACCUCGUCAGGGAUGAAUUAAUCACGCCAUGUAUGUGGUGCAUGACGAUGUCAACAUCUUCCUCCUACAAGCAGCAACAGAAGCAAGUUAGCUAUAAAGAGUCACCCGAAUAACUAUAACAUGCAUGUUCUGCUUUGGUCGUCAUAGAUAAAGAAAGACCACACGCACAAUUUUAUGAUUAGCUAAUUGGACUAGGUGAUCCAGUUCAUUGCCAAGCCAAAGAAACAAAAAUGAAACUCUGUAAGAUGUUGAAAUGUCCCCGUGUCACCACGAAAGAAAAUUUAUGCAGAAGAAGCCAAGACCUGCAUCAGAGCUUGGAUUUCCCUUCUCCACCAACUUUGGAGCCAGCGGUUUGGCUGAAGAUACUUGCUGGACUUCCGAUACCGUGGUAUGUCAAAUAUGUCACUUAAGAAAACUAAUUAAGAAACAAAGUUAACCAACUGGAAGGCAUGUAAACAGUGACGUCGUUUCUCAGGGAUAUAAAAUGAGAAACAACACAACCAAUAAAAUGACAAGAAGCACAAAACCUGGUUCAGUGUAAUAACACUGCAAUCUAUGCUUGUGCUCCUUUGAUAAGAAAAAGCUGCAGAUACCAUUAACAAAAAACGAUUUACAAAGAGGGUUACAUAUUUUCGAAAACGAUUUACAAAACUUUAUUUUUCAGGCCUAUCCACCCUUGUUUUUCUCCCCUCCAGGAAUUUUAGUGGCAGAGGUUUUGUGACGACGAGGAUUGUUGGUAAAAGCUGUUAUGUAGGAGACUUCUCCUUUCAGUAUAAAUGUCAUUACUCUUCUUUUAUUGUAAUUUAUUUAUGCUCUGACAUCAUUUGUGUGAAAUGGGUUCAAUCCCGCUCAUAUGCGCAGUCUAAAUUAGUUACUUUUAGGUUUUAAUUUAUUCACAAUUUUCACUUCACUACAUUUUAUGGCUUCGUCACCUCUGAGUGUCGGCUAGUACAUCACGAUUUGGGUGUCUGCGUGGACAUUCCGAGUCGGAAUGUGUCAAAAAUGUACCAUAUAAAGGCUACCAAUUUUUUGUAUGUAAAAUAUCAUUAAUAUAAGUAAUGACAAAUCAUGGGUUUUAUUUAAAUAGUUUAUUUUAAUGACAAAUCAUGUCAUUAAGAUAAAUUAUACUUUUUUAUAUAAGUAUAAUUUAUUUUUUUAUAUUUUCAAUCCCACAAAUCAUGAAUUUUAUCUAAAAUCUCAUUAAUACAAGUAACUAAAAAUAUCAAAAUAUCAAAUUUUAAUUUGAAAUUAUAAUAACCUACAUAGAAAUUUAUUAUUGUAUUAAUUUCAGGAACUUCAAUAAAAAACUGAAAACCAACAAGGUUUCAAUUGGAUUAAAAUUGAGGGACCAUUGAUACAAUUUUUCUUAUUUGAUUUUUCAUAUUUGCCCCUUAAUUUGGCCUCAUGUGCAUAGCAUGUGACUUAUUUUGGCAUAAGUUCUAAUGUAGUUGACAAAAAAAAAAAAUCAUAUCUGCACGUUUUGAUGAGUUUAGAGACCAAUGUUAAUGAAUUUUUAGUUGAUGGAUCGUUGCUCCUAUUAAGUUAAAGUUGAGAAAUUAUUGCUACAAUUUCCUCUACAAUUAAAGCUAAUAUAUAAGCUUGAUAGCUUGCUCAUGGACCAUACACAAGGAUAAAACGAGGAAAAUUCCUAUCUAUUUUAAACCUUAUGACUGAUUUGGGAUUGUGGUUCUUUUAUAAAAAACAGCUUAUGAAAAAAUCUGGAACAUCAAAUGUAUUUGGUACCAAAAAAAAAAGUGCUUAUUUAAAAAAUUGUUGUCAAUGACAACAGAAAAGUAAAGAAAAGCAGAAGCAGGGUCUACUAUGUUUCUAAAAAUUUCUAAGCAUGGUGAACAGUGAGAAUUUAAUGAAAUUUUCAAAUGGCAACUGCAUAUUUUACAAAAUAACAAUCGUUGUCCGUGCAAUAUUCUCUUUGGCAAUUAUUAUAUCACAUUAAAUGUCAUAUCAUUUUUAGUAUUUAACAAAUUCACAUCAAUUAUAUAUAUAAAAGUUUACAAAACACUCAGAUACUGUUUUAUUUUUUUACAAGCACUUUUACAAUAAAAGUUUAUCAAACGCUCAACAACUUUAUUUUACAACUGUUUAUUCUCAAAAUACUGCAGAAACAAUUUAAAAAAAAAAAAAAACAAAACAUAACAACACCAAACUAGCAGAACUUACAAGCACAUGUAUUAGGAAAAGAUUAUCAGAAUCUGCAACUCAAAAUCUUGUAGUCAACAUUCACAACUUCCCGGCGUGUUCUUUGAGAGUGCCGUAAAGAGUCUCCACAAGAUUGAGCAGGAAUCCAUCCGAGCCAUGCUUUGCCAGCAAGGAAACUGAAACAGGUAGGUUAUCGCACAUCCCUAGUGGUAUACUCACCUGCAAAUACGUAGAAAUAAGUUACUAACUUUCGCAAGAUACUUGCAGUCAAUGACGAAGAAAAAGAUUGUAACAUGUCGUAUACAAACAUGGAAAGGGGGAGGGAGAGGUAGAGAUAGAUAGAGGGCUUAAAAACCUGGCAGAAUCCGGAAACUACGGCAAUGGAUUGGAAGCUGAAAGCCCGGGCACGAAAAGCGUCCAGUAUACUAGGAUCUGUUUGCAGCUUUGGUGGAUCCCCUGGAACUGUAGGCAUUGCGAGGACACCGAAAUCCUGAUGAGUAAUUCAAAGAGAUUGUGUUACGUAUUCAUCAGAGACAGUAUUUCUUCUGCUAAAAGUUUCGUUUUAAGAGCAAAAGGAAGGAAGAUGCUAACAAAUAACAGUUUGUCAGUCUCUCUACUCUAACAAAACGAACUCGUUUGAUAUGAAGUGACGGAUUCCUAAAAUGAACUUUAGCGUGUGCAAAGAUGUGAGAGAGAGAGAGAGAGAGAGUACCCCGAGAAGUUCAGUAAGAGCAGCACGCAAUUCAGUCAUCACGGAGUGACAAACAUCGACAUUUUCAUCUGUUGACCGAACGGCUGCCCAUAUACGUUCUCCUAUCCCGGGACCUAAGUCAGGUCUGACUGUACUAACCCAUUCACCAUGGUUGCUCUUGAAUUCAUACCUAUUCUAUCAACCAAAUAAUAAAUUUGGAAUUCAUUAUGUACGACAAAUUUAAAUUUUGUUAAUCAAGGUGAAGAUGCAGAAAUUAUCACACUCAUAUUCAAGUCCACCAAAUCAGCACCUUGCGAGAAGAUGAAAGGCGGUUGAUAGGGCUGCCAAAGACGGUAUAAUGUACUCUUCACUUGGAUUUCCUUUAUCCAAGAAAGAGUUCAAGCUUGGAACUUUGUCCUUGACAACAUCCCCGAGGUUAGCAUGUUUUAUAACUUGACCUGCAUUUGCAGAUAUAACGAGUGAGCUUCUUCUUUCCAUGUUGUGAGCUUGUCACUAUCUCAGCAGGAGACCCAAUUUAAUUAAUUGAUUAAUUUUCAGUUAAUAAUCUGUCUAUUGAACAUAAUGGCCAAUUUGUGUCUUAAAACGUGGGGGAAUUAUAAAUUGGACUCGAUUCAUGUCAAUCAAAAUACUUACAGCUAGAGAUGAAACAGAUGAAUACGGUCAAAUCACUUACCCCCAAAUAACUUCUCAACUGACUCAACAAGUACUUGUUUCACUCGACUGCUUGGAACACUUGAAAUCUGGAAACAGUCUUCUGCGAUGAUUAACUGAGUGGGUACGACAGGACCCGUAUCAGGCAAUUGGAGUAACACUCGUCCAACUCUAUUCAAAAUCGCAGGAUUCCUUGCAAACCAUCCUAUAUCAGAAGUUAGUGUCAAAAGGAUGGUUUCCGAUUGCUUAGAGUGCUAGAUAGAUCAUUCACAUAGGUAAAGCUUUCGAAGUACUAUAGUUCCAAUUGCAGAAAAACUUAAACACAGAAGUGUCACGAGUAAUAAUCAACAAAGAUGCAGAAUGCACGGAUGGCAUAUGAAUCAUUGAAGCGGAGGAAGUUAGCUACUUUCUAGAAAUAAAGAGAGAUAUUUCCUGUUACAUAAAAUCAAGGGGAAAAAACCGAAAACAUGACCUUUUUUUUGUCACGACCAGAAAUCUAUUUCCUAAGCCAGUCUGCAAUAUAAAAUGUCAUUGAUUUCUCACCCACUGUAUCGAAACUUUGUGCCAGAGGAGUAACUCCAGAAGUAGAAAUGACACCAUGAGAUGGCCGAAACCCAAAAAUUCCACAAUGCGACGCAGGAAUUCUUACACUUCCUCCAGUGUCAGUUCCUGAAAAAGUGAGGGUCUUGUGCUUCAACAUAAAGAAGCAAGAAAACAACAAAAGCACACUAGGAAUAACUUACCUAAGGAAAAAUCUGCGAGGCCUACAGCUACGGCAACAGCAGAACCGCUAGAAGCCUCCAGGCACCCUAUCUGGAGCGCACGGAUUUCUGGGUGUGCCAUAAUGCUUGUUCUCUCCAUUCAUACUGCCAACAACACAGUGCAAAAUUCAAGGGCGUUUUCUGUCGAGUGAUUUUCGAAUGUCCAAAAUCAUUAUAUAAAUACUUUUACCACGAAAAGAGACUUGUAGCGAUCAAUCAUUUGUCAAAAUUUUUGGGAACAAAACAGUAAUGCAAGUUUAAGCAUGUGAAGUAAGACAAGGCCUCUUUGUACUAACCAGUAUGCCAUUUCAUCCAUGACAGUUAUACCAAUACUUGUGGCACCUCCACUCAAUAUUGCUGAAACAGCCGGAGCUGUUGAUUCAGCAGCCGGGUGAGUCCUCGCCCAAUCAGGAUUCCCAAACCCAGUCACACGUCCAGCCACAUCAAAUCUGCCUCCAAGUUCAAAUUUCAGUGAACACAAAAAUGUUUUGGCUUUUACACACACAUGAAAAAAAUUGCACAAUUCAACACCCUGAAGUUCACCAUCAUGGUUCCACAAGCACACAUAAAACCACACAAAGCAUGAAGAUUUAUUAAAACGCUUCUCUGAAAAAGCACUUCUCAUCAUAAGUGCUUUUGCUGGAAGUAUUUUUACUUUAGUAGAAGUAAAUCCACCACAAAGUUUCAUUAAAAAUUCAAGUGCUUCAGAAAAAAAACAUUUGAACUUUUUUUUCUGUAAGUGUUUUUAGUCAUUCUCAAAUGAAGAAACGCCCAAUCACAGAAACAACACACAAAAUUGGGUUCUUGGAGACAACUGAUUGAACCCAAAUCCGAAAUCAGCAAAUAAGCACAAAAGCAUAUGAAUUUUAAGUAUAACACUACAAAAUUUAAAGCAUCCACCAAAUAGAAGAGUGAUAUAAUUGAGGAAAAUUUAAGAGAGUAGCUCUCACAUGUCUUUAACAGCAAAGGUGAGGCCACUCAGAGGAAGGUCAUGUGAUGAAGACGGCGGUCGGAGAAGGAAUUUCUCCACGAAAGCUCCAUGAUCUGAGUCUAUCGCCAUCUCUCUCUGCCACUGCUGUCUCAGAUAAUCUCAGCUUCAGCAGCUGCUCCACAUUUGACGACAGAAGUGAAUAGCUCUCCACUCAUCAAUCAUACGAUGAUCCUAUUCAAAUGCAAGGACAGAUUAUUCCUUAAAAAAAUCUGUUGUUGAUAGGUGGUCACUUCAGUCAGUGAGGGCAAAGUGGAAAUUCUGG